rnacentral:pre_miRNA from 1 species
AAUAAGUGCAGCCAUAUAUAUUCGUGUUUAGCGCUUUGACCAUCCGUCUUAUUUAAAAAAUUUAUAAAAAAUAUUAAAAAAAUUAGUCACACAUAAAGUACUAUUCAUGUUUUAUCAUCUAAUAACAAUAAAAAUACUAAUCAUAAUCUUUUUUUUAAAUAAGACGAACGGUCAAACGAUGAAUAUGAACAGUGCUAAAACUGCACUUAUU